UACAGAGGUCCCGAGCGUAGGCGGAAUCACUGGGCUUAAAGCGUGUGUAGGUGGAUCGUUAAGUACCUUGUGAAAUCCCACGGCUUUAACCGUGGAACUGCUUGGUAUACUGGCGGUCUUGAGCCAGCUAGGGGCUACCGGAACAAAUGGUGGAGCGGUGAAAUGCGCAGAUAUCGGGAGGAACACCGGUGGCGAAGGCGGUUCUCUGGGCC
rnacentral:rRNA from 1 species